GGCCUUUUCGGCCAGGAUGGGGUAAGAGUGGGUGGAGAGUUUUGCUAGACUAUGAGGGAUUUGCUGGGGGUUCUGCAUGGCUUUGAGUUGACCCUAUGAACCUAUCUGUUGCCUGGAAUUUUUACUCAUCUGGUCCAUUUUUUCUGUGGAGCCGACUCAAACCAAACCAGAAACAAAAAGACAGUCUCACACCGAGGAAAAGACUGGGAGAAAAGAGACGUCUCUUUACGCCAGGAAGCCCCGAGUUUCUUCUUGGACGCGUAACUGGAAACUAGGAAGUGUCGCUUUCGCUUUGGUAUAAAAUGUGCCAAACGCACUUCGAUAGUAGAAAAAUGGCCACGAUCUAAGCACCUUUUCUGAGUGGCGUUGGACCAUUUGUGCUACCCUAACGGAGCUCAGCCGCAGUACUCCCAAGCGACUUAGGCUGUCUUCGCGGUUUCCGUAGGAUGCUUCUUUACUCGCGACGUUGUUGAAGCUUUACCGCUUAGGCACCUUGGAACACGCAUAUGCAUAAAAAUUUAGCUGAGUACAGUCAUUUGUGCAGGCCGAAAAACAUACCACCAUAGCUUGGUAUGCCAAAAAUAUAAGAUAAAUGGGCAAGCAACGUUCGAAUUGGAUGGAUUUUCAAAUAAGAGCCAUUGCACAUUUUCUAUUACUACUUCUCUGAGCUGCACUUUUUUCCGUACGGCCUAUAACUUUGAGGUUUAGGGACGUAAACUACCUGAAGGGAUUUCAAAGUUGUAAUUAGCAACCAGUCUUCUGUCAGUUAAAUUCAGGAUCUGGCCCUAGUUGUGAAUUUAACACUCUUUAGGGCACUCGCCCUUCACAAUUCAACAGCUCACCUGGAAAAAUAACCUCAUUUUCAUAGGAUGAAUUCUAGGUUUUCUCUUAUUUUACAGGCCGCCUCACCCAACCACCACCACCAGAAUGUGGAAGCAGUAAUCUUUAGCCUUUGUGGUGCGCUAAGUCCCAGACGUUUAGUAGGUGCUCAGUAAAUAUUUGUUGAACUGAUGAGCUAUAUUAAAAGAAAAAACAUCCUUGAUGGGUCAAUACAACUCUACUAUUCUGCAUGUAUUUGGAGGGCAGGGGUAUCCCUUAGGGUUAACAGCCCUUAUUCAUUUUUUCAAAAUACACCAAAAUCUGACUGGAGUGUUUUGCAGCCUAGGACAGUAUCUUAAGCCUUUCUCUGCAGUUCUGCAAAUGAAUUGAAAAUAAAGUACCCUUUCUGAGGCAGUAUAACUGUGUUUUUAAAUAACCUGAGGUAGUAACAAUGAAGGAGACACAUUGGAACAAAUCUUUGAAUAAAUGAAAGAGCCUUCUAGACUUUUCCUGAACUAGGUCCAUUCGAUAUAUGCUACUUGAUUUAACACAACCUCUGAAAUUGGAGUUUCUUGACUAAAUCAUGUUUUAUUCACAUUCAAUGACCUAUAACUUAAAAUUAGUUUACUAAUUUAUUAAAUGUAAAAUAUUUCAGUAUUCCAUUUGUAUGCAUUUAUCUUAAGGUCAUUUGUUUAUAUUUCUUCUUGGGAUAAUUUUCGAUUUUGUUAACUGAGCUCGUGAUUUUUCCUCUAUGCUCUUUUCGACAUUAUUUGUAUUUUCAACAGGAAACAAAAGUUCUGUUAAAAAGAAUGGAGAUGUAAUGGUGGAAUUUUAGUUGCAAAAGUAAAAUAGGACUAGAACAAAUAUAAUGAUAUCCAAAAAGUGGUGAAAUAAUACAUUCUGGAGAGAAAAGAGGCAAUAACCCUUGCUCUCCAGAUUUUGGGGGGGUGUUAAAAUUUCAUUGCUUAUUUUGAACUGAAAAUUAAGCCUCAGAGAAGGAGUCACCAUUGAUACUGACAUGCCCUAAUAUUGGUUUUUCUCAAAAUGUGAUAUAUCUAUCUCACAAGAAUAACCUGGGUUGCUUAUUUUAAAAGUAAAUCAGUACACACACUUACUCUCGCUCGCAUUUACUGAAGCAGAAUCUGUAAAGGUAGGCAUACACAUUCAAGUCUGAGAGCCACUGAUUUAUCGAGUACCUAUAGUAUUCCAUAUAUUGUGGGACUACAAAGUGGAACAUCUUCACUGCUUCUCUCUUGGAACUCAAAAUCUAGCAAAGAUAAGGUGUAACUCCCAUAACAAAGGGAACAAAAAGAUAACUUCCUAGGAUCGAGUGCCAAUGGUGAAAGAGAGAAGGCCUAGCUUUUAAAAAAUUAGUGAGAUUUCACCACUUCUUCAUUCAUUCAUUCAAAAGAUAUACAUGAAGUAUGUGCAGUGUACAGAUACUGAGCCAGGUGCUUGGGAUGGAGUAGUGCGAAAGGCUAACACUGACAGUGCUUUCAAGGAGGGUGUCACUUAGGGAGACAAAACACAUAACUAGACAUAAUACAAAGUCCGAUAGUAAUAAAGCGAAAGAACAAAAGAGGGAGGCUAACUCUAGAGAGGGUGCAUCAUAAGGAAAAGUUCUUGUGAGGGGGACGACCUAAAAGAUAAGGAGAAAAUAGGACAAAUAUUCCAGGUGGAAAGAUUGACCUGUGCAAAAUCCCUGGAGCAGAAAAGAUCUUGCGUUUCUCAAACAGAAUAGUAGUGAGCGUUGUCAAUGAAUUUUGACUAAGAACUGUAGGGUAAACAAGAGCUUUAUUUGGGGGUCAUUUUAGGAAUUGCAAGUCCGGGAGACACAGAUUUGGGUAGAAAUCCCAAUGCAUUCUGAUAGGAAAAGAAAGGGAUAGGUUUAUAAAGACAGGAAAUGUUGGAGGGAGGAGUGGGGGCUUCCAAGAGGAUUACAUAAAUUUUUUUGAAAGCUGUGAUUUUUUACUGGCAAGCUGACUUACACUAUGCUACACAUAAUUGCUAGGUGAAAAAUUUAUUUUUAAUAGAGUUCGGUGAUGCAGAGCUAGUUCUAAGAACUAUAAGAGGAUGUAGCCAUUCGGUUUAGCCCAAUUCAAAAGUUCAGUUUCACAUGGAGGGGACUGCAUUGGUUGAGCUUCCUGAAAGGCCUCCUGGCUUCAUUUUAAAUUGCUCUCAAUAAUACCAAUUCCAUUUUGCUGAUUUUCUUUCACAUUUUCCCCUUUGUUCAAGAUAUUUCCUUAGAAAGCAUCGAUGAUCAACCAUUAGGAGGUAUCAUUGGUCUGUCAUGAAAAGCUACAUUGAUGCCUCAUCACCAGGAAGGCUCAUUCUGGGUGUGCCCUCCAGCCCUCUUUGUUUCAUGAAUCUUCUCUUAAGCAGUGCAGGGGAGUACUGUAAUUCAGUGAAGAAACAGUAUCUGUUAAAGUAUUUGCUUCCAUUUAGAAAGAACCUAUCUAGUGAAUUCCAACCACCCAUGAUAGAUAUGCCUAAAAAUGGCUUGACCCUUUGUAAAACAAUUAUUUUCAAAAUUCAUUUUGUUAUUUUGAGAUCUGGCUAGUUAGGUUAAAAGUUAUCACCACCAUUUUUUAAAAUUCAGUUUUAGAAAGGAUUGUCAAAUCAUAGACCAAACCGUUUUUCUAGUGUUUGUGCCAUUAUUUAUUUUUAUGUCCGUAACAAAUAAGAAGAAGAAGAAGAAGAAGCUUACUCUUGUACUGUAACUAGGUUAAUAUCAGCUAACACAAACCCAUUCAGUAGCUUGGCCUAGACAUGUUCAUUUUCUAUCACACAUUCCAAGGAGAUAGUUCUGGCAAUGGCACAUGAGAUGAUCCUUUGCCCUGACCACAGGAUGCUCACUGUUUGAAAACAAAUUCAUUAAAAUUCUUAAACAUCGUUCAGGAGCAAGAGCCAUACAAACGUUUAUCAUUAAUGGUCAUUUACAAUUUAUUCAUAGGGAUCCAGCUGGCAACCAUCUGGUGCAUAAAACCAAAAAUUAAAGGGAAAAAAAAAUAAAAGUUGCUAUAAAAAUAUAA